rnacentral:rRNA from 1 species
UGUCUCCUACGGGACGCAGCAGUGAGGAAUAUUGGUCAAUGGCCGGAAGGCUGAACCAGCCACGCCGCGUGAAGGACGAAGGGGCCAAGCAUUGUAAACUUCUUUUGUCAGGGGACAAAAUCAGGCUCGAGAGCCUGACCGAGGGUACUUGAAGAAAAAGCAUCGGCUAACUCCGUGCCAGCAGCCGCGGUAAUACGGAGGAUGCGAGCGUUAUCCGGAUUUAUUGGGUUUAAAGGGUGCGUAGGCGGACUGUUAAGUCAGCGGUAAAAUCCCGGGGCUCAACCCCGGCGAGCCGUUGAAACUGG